UUGGUUAGGAUUUGAUUUAGGAUUAGAAUUUGGUUAGGAUUUGAUUUAAGAUUACAAUUUGAUUUAGGAUUUAGGAUUUAGUUAGGAUUUAGUUAGGAUUUGGUUUAGGAUUUAGAAUUUAGUUAGGGUUUGAUUUAGGAUUUAGGAUUUGAUUUAGGAUUUAGGAUUUGAUUUAGGAUUUAAGGUUUCAUUAGGAUUUGAUUUAGGAUUUAUGAUUUGAUUUAGGAUUUAAGGUUUCAUUAGGAUUUGGUUUAGGAUUUAAGAUUUGAUUAGGAUUUGAUUAGGAUUUGAUUUAGAGUUUAGAGUUUGGUUAGGAUUUGAUUUAGGAUUGGAAUUUGGUUAGGAUUUGAUUUAGGAUUAGGAUUUAGUUAGGAGUUAAUUUAGAGUUUAGGAUUUGGUUAGGAUUUAAUUUAGGAUUUAAGAUUUUAUUAGGAUUUAUUUAAGAUUUAAGAUUUAGUUCAUUUUUGGCCUAAAGUUUGAAUGAAGUCCAAGAGGAUUUUAAGUAGGAUUAAAUUAAGAUUGAAUUGAGAUGUAUUUGAGAUAUAUUUGUGAUCAUUUUAAUUUUUCUUUAAGAUUUUAUAUUGUUUCUUUAUAAUUCCUUUGAGUUUUUUUUGAAUUUGAUUAAAGCUUAUUUAGCAUUGUUAGUAUUCUAUUAGAAUUAGGAUUUUAUUGUUGUAAUUUCUAUUCUACCUUCUACAGCCAGGUGCCUAGAGCAUUUUCAAGCAAGACUUCACGUAUUAUGACAAGGGCAGGUUCAUAAU
rnacentral:lncRNA from 1 species